UGGGGAAUAUUGGACAAUGGGGGGAACCCUGAUCCAGCAAUGCCGCGUGUGUGAAGAAGGCCUGAGGGUUGUAAAGCACUUUCAGAGGGGAGGAGGACUAUUAGGUUAAGAGCUAGAUAGUUGGACGUUACCCUCAGAAGCAGCACCGGCUAACUCCGUGCCAGCAGCCGCGGUAAUACGGGGGGUGCAAGCGUUAAUCGGAAUUAUUGGGCGUAAAGGGUGCGUAGGUUGUUUGAUAAGAUAUAUGUGAAAUACCUGGGCUCAACCUGGGAAGGUCAUAUAAGACUGUCAGACUCGAGUAUGGGAGAGGGUAGAGGAAUUUCCGGUGUAGCGGUGAAAUGCGUAGAU
rnacentral:rRNA from 1 species